rnacentral:rRNA from 1 species
UACGGAGGGUGCAAGCGUUAUCCGGAUUCACUGGGUUUAAAGGGUGCGUAGGCGGGUAAGUAAGUCCGUGGUGAAAUCUCUGAGCUUAACUCAGAAACUGCCGUGGAUACUAUUUGCCUUGAAUAUUGUGGAGGUGAGCGGAAUAUGUCAUGUAGCGGUGAAAUGCUUAGAUAUGACAUAGAACACCAAGUGCGAAGGCAGCUCACUACACAAUCAUUGACGCUGAGGCACGAAAGCGUGGGGAUCAAACAGG